rnacentral:rRNA from 1 species
UACAGAGGUCUCAAGCGUUGUUCGGAUUCAUUGGGCGUAAAGGGUGCGUAGGUGGCGGGGUAAGUCUGGGGUGAAAUCUCGGGGCUCAACCCCGAAACUGCACUGGAUACUGCCUUGCUCGAGUACUGGAGAGGAGAUUGGAAUUUACGGUGUAGCAGUGAAAUGCGUAGAUAUCGUAAGGAAGACCAGUGGCGAAGGCGAAUCUCUGGACAGUUACUGACACUGAGGCACGAAGGCCAGGGGAGCAAACGGG